AGUGAACGCUGGCGGUAGGCCUAACACAUGCAAGUCGAACGGCAGCACAGUAAGAGCUUGCUCUUACGGGUGGCGAGUGGCGGGCGGGUGAGGAAUACAUCGGAAUCUACUUUUUCGUGGGGGAUAACGUAGGGAAACUUACGCUAUUACCGCAUACGACCUACGGGUGAAAGCAGGGGAUCUUCGGACCUUGCGCGAUUGAAUGAGCCGAUGUCGGAUUAGCUAGUUGGCGGGGUAAAGGCCCACCAAGGCGACGAUCCGUAGCUGGUCUGAGAGGAUGAUCAGCCACACUGGAACUGAGACACGGUCCAGACUCCUACGGGAGGCAGCAGUGGGGAAUAUUGGACAAUGGGCGAAAGCCUGAUCCAGCCAUGCCGCGUGGGUGAAGAAGGCCUUCGGGUUGUAAAGCACUUUUGUUGGGAAAGAAAAGCAGCAGGUUAAUACCCCGCUGUUCUGACGGUACCAAAAGAAUAAGCACCGGCUAACUUCGUG
rnacentral:rRNA from 1 species